rnacentral:rRNA from 1 species
UACGUAGGGGGCAAGCGUUAUCCGGAUUUACUGGGUGUAAGGGGAGCGUAGACGGCGGUGCGAGCCAGAUGUGAAAGCCCGGGGCUCAACCCCGGGACUGCAUUUGGAACUGUGCUGCUAGAGUGUCGGAGAGGCAGGCGGAAUUCCUAGUGUAGCGGUGAAAUGCGUAGAUAUUAGGAGGAACACCAGUGGCGAAGGCGGCCUGCUGGACGAUGACUGACGUUGAGGCUCGAAAGCGUGGGGAGCAAACAGG